rnacentral:lncRNA from 1 species
CUUUGUUUCCUGGUGUGAAAACCACCUGUGGAUCAGAGCCAGUGCCAGCCGGCCGCCUGCCUGGGACACGCUGUCCCGCCGCCCGAUGAGGGUCCGCAGACUGGACAGCAUGUUUGUGGCCAUCGUUGUUCCCACUCCUCACGGCAACCAUUUUUUUCUUGCCUGUACUGAGAGGGUUCACUAAGGCAGAGCGCACGGAGCACAGUGAAGGUCUGAUGGAGAAGAAGCACGGACAUGGGUGAGUUGUUCCAG